CAGCAGCCGCGGUAAUACGUAGGUGGCAAGCGUUGUCCGGAUUUAUUGGGCGUAAAGCGAGCGCAGGCGGAAAAAUAAGUCUAAUGUGAAAGCCCUCGGCUUAACCGAGGAACUGCAUCGGAAACUGUUUUUCUUGAGUGCAGAAGAGGAGAGUGGAACUCCAUGUGUAGCGGUGGAAUGCGUAGAUAUAUGGAAGAACACCAGUGGCGAAGGCGGCUCUCUGGUCUGCAACUGACGCUGAGGCUCGAAAGCAUGGGUAGCGAACAGGAUUAGAUACCCUGGUAGUCCAUGCCGUAAACGAUGAGUGCUAAGUGUUGGGAGGUUUCCGCCUCUCAGUGCUGCAGCUAACGCAUUAAGCACUCCGCCUGGGGAGUACGACCGCAAGGUUGAAACUCAAAGGAAUUGACGGGGGCCCGCACAAGCGGCGGAGCAUGUGGUUUAAUUCGAAGCAACGCGAAGAACCUUACCAGGUCUUGACAUCUAGUGCAAUCUGUAGAGAUACGGAGUUCCCUUCGGGGACGCUAAGACAGGUGGUGCAUGGCUGUCGUCAGCUCGUGUCGUGGGAUGUUGGGUUAAGUCCCGCAACGAGCGCAACCCUUGUUAUUAGUUGCCAGCAUUAAGUUGGGCACUCUAAUGAGACUGCCGGUGACAAACCGGAGGAAGGUGGGGAUGACGUCAAGUCAUCAUGCCCCUUAUGGCCUGGGCUACACACGUGCUACAAUGGGCAGUACAACGAGAAGCAAGCCUGCGAAGGCAAGCGAAUCUCUGAAAGCUGUUCUCAGUUCGGACUGCAGUCUGCAACUCGACUGCACGAAGCUGGAAUCGCUAGUAAUCGCGGAUCAGCACGCCGCGGUGAAUACGUUCCCGGGCCUUGUACACACCGCCCGUCACACCAUGAGAGUCUGUAACACCCAAAGCCGGUGGGAUAACCUUUAUAGGAGUCAGCCGUCUAAGGUAGGACAGAUGAUUAGGGUGAAGUCGUAACAAGGUAGCCGUA
rnacentral:rRNA from 1 species